rnacentral:rRNA from 1 species
CCUACGGGCGGCAGCAGUAGGGAAUAUUGCUCAAUGGGGGAAACCCUGAAGCAGCAACGCCGCGUGGAGGAUGAAGGUUUUCGGAUUGUAAACUCCUUUUGUUAGAGAAGAUAAUGACGGUACCUCUUGAAUAAGCCACGGCUAACUACGUGCCAGCAGCCGCGGUAAUACGUAGGUGGCAAGCGUUGUCCGGAUUUACUGGGUGUAAAGGGCGUGUAGCCGGGCUGACAAGUCAGAUGUGAAAUUCCGGGGCUCAACCCCGGACCUGCAUUUGAAACUGUUGGUCUUGAGUAUCGGAGAGGCAGGCGGAAUUCCUAGUGUAGCGGUGAAAUGCGUAGAUAUUAGGAGGAACACCAGUGGCGAAGGCGGCCUGCUGGACGACAACUGACGGUGAGGCGCGAAAGCGUGGGGAGCAAACAGGAUUAGAUACCCGGGUAGUC